CAUUCUUCCAGUCUUCAACUGUCCAAUUUUGGCUUGGUGUACCUGCUCCCUGCCUGGCCCCCUGCUCUUUGUCACUCACAGCUCCUCCGGUUACGGCUCGGCCUCUCCAGGGGCCUCAGGGACCUGGCCUAAAUUGGUUUCAGAAGCACUGCGGACAGCAUCGUGAGCCUGAGUUAGCAGACUAACCCCUCUGAAACCCUCUGACUCUCGGCCUCCCAAAGCCUCCCUGCCUUUGAAGUUCCUUAUGACUUUCCUUCCUCACCCCCAAACCACUUUAGUUCAACCCCAUCACCCCGGUCCUCACCACAGCCCCCUCUUCUUG
ensembl:lncRNA